GGAAUUUUCCGCAAUGGGCGAAAGCCUGAUCCAGCCAUGCCGCGUGCAGGAUGAAGGCCUUCGGGUUGUAAACUGCUUUUGUACGGAACGAAAAGGUCUUUUCUAAUAAAGAAGGCUCAUGACGGUACCGUAAGAAUAAGCACCGGCUAACUACGUGCCAGCAGCCGCGGUAAUACGUAGGGUGCAAGCGUUAAUCGGAAUUACUGGGCGUAAAGCGUGCGCAGGCGGUUAUAUAAGACAGAUGUGAAAUCCCCGGGCUCAACCUGGGAACUGCAUUUGUGACUGUAUAGCUAGAGUACGGUAGAGGGGGAUGGAAUUCCGCGUGUAGCAGUGAAAUGCGUAGAUAUGCGGAGGAACACCGAUGGCGAAGGCAAUCCCCUGGACCUGUACUGACGCUCAUGCACGAAAGCGUGGGGAGCAAACAGGAUUAGAUACCCUUG
rnacentral:rRNA from 1 species